rnacentral:lncRNA from 1 species
CCGGCUUUAUUGGGACUUCAAAUUUGAGCCUGCCUUGUUCGAUGGCCGACUGUAUUUGCUGUCGGAAGAUUUUGCAUUCAUUUGUAUCGUGGGAGGUGGCAUUAUGCCACUUGCAAUAUUUCAUCUUCUUCAGCUGUUCGGCCGACGGGAUCGUAUGAUAUGGCGAAAGCUUGAUCUGUUCUUCUUGGAGAAGAAGAUCAAAAAUUUUAUCGGCCUUUGAUGUGUCAAAUCCGAAUGUUUCCGGCUCCUUUUUUCCAAAUGGACACGAUAUCGGCUUUUUCCCUUUAAUCCAUUCCGC